rnacentral:rRNA from 1 species
UACGGAGGGUGCAAGCGUUGUUCGGAAUUACUGGGCGUAAAGCGUGCGUAGGCGGUUCGAUAAGUCGGGUGUGAAAGCCCAGGGCUCAACCCUGGAACUGCACCCGAUACUGUCAAACUUGAGUGUGGGAGAGGGAAGCGGAAUUCCUGGUGUAGCGGUGAAAUGCGUAGAUAUCAGGAGGAACACCCGUGGCGAAAGCGGCUUCCUGGCCCAUUACUGACGCUGAGGCACGAAAGCGUGGGGAGCAAACAGG